GGUCGCUGCGCGCGCUCGGCCCCGCUGAGGAGAGGAGCGCGGGGCAGGGCGGCGCGAGGCGGCGCGAAGGGGUGGGGCGCGUUGCCGGGGAGCGCCGUACACAGAUCCCAAACAGCGCCGGGACACGGGGUGCGGAGCUCCGUCACGAGGCGCUCCGCCCCGCCGGUCGCGGGAGGCCUCGAGGAGCGAGCGCCCGAGCGAGGGAACGCGGCGCGGCCGGGCGAGCCCCGCGCCCCGGAGGCAGCGGGCUGCGAUGCGGAGGCAGCGGCGGGAGGCGCCGGGCCAGCCGGGACGGAGCUCCUUACAUAAGCGAGGAGUGCCCGUGUCCCGCUCCCCGAUCUUGUACACGCCCCGGGCUUUCGAAACUGUCCCCGCGCGGCUGCGGGACGCAGAGCGCGGCGCGGGUGGGAGCGGAGCGGUGCUGCCUUCCUCCUGCAGUUAGCGACCGCUGGAAUCGCCACAGAAAGGUGUAACACAAAGAGACUCUGAGGCGUUCAAGGCUUUUCCCAGACAAGAUGCCUUCUCAGCCAAAAUUUGAAGUCCUGAUGGAAAGGGGAGGAGGAUGAAAUACCUUACCUGCCAAAAUUCUUUCUGAAGGGUAGCAGGAAACUCACAUUCUCUCAAUGCACAUCUUCAGCAAAAAGUGUGCACAGCCAGUACACAAAUAAUGGGAGAUAGAUCUAUCUGAAAAAGGCCUCAGGAAGUCAUCUUUGCCAUUACCUUAUCUCCAGGUAGGACUGACCUCUACUUCAGAUUUGAAACAGGUUUGUCUGUCUCAAUCAUGUCUGUUGUUUUUGUUGUUGUUUAUUUGUUUGCUUUUCCUGAAAGACAUUUGCAUCAGAUGUUUUGAUGGUUUCUUUUUUCUAACUCAAGCAAAGCUUAUAGCAACAGACACUGCCAUCAAUCUUUACAAGUACAUUUUGUAAUACUUAGUUUCAGGACCCAUAAGUGAGGGCCAACCAAAGCACAUCUGUAGCAGAGACUGAAUCAACUGUAGAAUAAACAUAGACUAUGUAGAAUAAAAACAGCUGUAUGAAAAAUUUUAGUGCCUGCACGUAUUUGACAACUGCCAUGAAAUUCAGAGCUGUUCUCUCCAUUUUAAGUUGUUACACUCUGGGAUACUUGGUUAUUGGUAGAUAUUCUGAGAAUGCCUUCAUUUCAGAAGUUUGUAGUAUCAUUUUGUACUUUCAAUUUGUUCGUUUGUUUUUUAAGAACUUCAGCUCAGACUUCAAUCUCUGAACAUGCCAUUUUAUGUCUGGAACUAACUACAAAUAUUAUUUACCUACCCACCUGAAUGUAUGUGCAGACAGUUCAGAGACUUUUCUUGAACACAGUAAGAUUAUUAUUCUCCUACCUUUGUAAAUAAAAAGUGGCUAAUUUGGCACAGGCAUUUUACUUGGGAAAAAUGCCUUGAUGAAUUGCAUAAUCUGAAGAGCUGUCUAAUCAUGCAAAUUCAGAGCAUUCUGUCAAAUGAAUAUGCCUGAAUCACACACACUGAGUUUAACUCAUACUGAAAAAAUGAUAGCAAUUGCAGUGGUCUGUCAUCAUUUUAAGAAAGUAAUUAUAGUAAAAUAUUACUGUCACAACUCCACAUUAUAUCAGGCCAUGUCCAAAGGGCUUCUAAUAGUAGGGUAUAACUCCUUCUUACCGUUAUAGAUGUCUUCUGGUGCAAUUGUCAAUGUUCAAGAAUAAAGAAUGCUUUUGCUUAAUUCGUUAAGGAAAAAAAAAGGAACAAAUAAAUAAGACAUUAAACUAUUCUGACUGCCUUGUAUGAAUGAAUGCACUGAGUUGAACAAAAGAAAGCAAACGCAGACCUGUGUCUUCUAACUGUUGCUUUUAUUAGCUUGUCAGUUAUUACCUUGAAGAUAUGAAUUGUGUUCAUUUAGACACUUCUGUUCUACACACCACAGAAUGAAGCACAAGCUUCAGUAACAGGUGCCAAUAAAAAAAAAUCUAUUAGUAAUGGCUUGCUUUAUUUUUAUCCUUUCUAUAUUAGCUUGCCUGGAAAAACAAAUGCAUCAAAGCAGGACAAAUACCCAAUCCACUGGCUUAUUUGUAGAGCAAACUUUCAUGAUAUAUUAUCUUAAUUCUCAAUUUUGUGUAUUCCUGCCAUUUCUGUGGUGAGUGUCUCCAGGGAGUUUUUUUUAAUUGGUACCAAGACUGAAUCUUAUCCCUUCCACUUGUCUAAAACAUCAGCAAUAUUUAGAAUUAUUCCAUUUAUUUCCUAGCUUAUAAUUUCAUUAAUUAAAAAAAAAAAAUCAUUUGCAGACUAUAUUACGAACUGUUCCAUGAGGACUCAAACCAACAAGGCUUGGAUUCAUGUCCAAAAUUGCUACAUUACUCCCCAGUCAAACAAAUACCACCAGCUUACCAUCUUGUGAGACCAGUAGUGUCCCCAGUUCCAACUACAUCCACUGCUCUUCCCCCCCCUUCCACAUCUAGUGAACAUCAGACAGCAGACAGAACAUUUGCUAGUGUGGUGAAGUCUGGACCAUCCCUGCGUAUGGCUGGAGACAGUAAGCAAAAUCUCCUGAGCUUCCCUUAGAGUCUUUCCCUCAGCUGGAAACUGUAAUUUGGGUCUCAUAUCUACCUAGCUACUGAUAUUGCAGCAACAUUUGGGAAUUAGUAUCUAUGAGGUCUUCAACACUCCUCCACAUUUAGCAGAACAGUGAAGAUACAGUCACAUAAGUUGAACUUCCUUGAGAUCACAGGCUUCAUUCAAAAGGCUUGCAUCUAGACACUUCUUUUUCAGCCUCUAGUUUUGCUACUGUUAUUCUAACACAUCAUAGUUCUCUGGUAGACAAAGAGGCUUCAUUUUCAGUAAAAGUAGUACAACAAAUGUGCAAGGCAAUCAUUCAGCUGUCAAAGGACAUAGCUGCUUCUGUUCUUUUCUUCUGCACUGUCACUCAACUGCCCUGAAUGAAAUAAGAACACGAAAACAUGGAGCAUUUUGAAAGUACAACUAAAGGCGUCCAACACAAACGUUUGUGUUGAUUUAACUUUAGAAUAAAAUUCCAAAUAUUUUUUGCCUGAAAAUCUAUAUGUAUGUCCAGUGAAUAACAAUAAUUAGUCCCAAAAUAUUAAGAAAAACCCUCCUGAAGGAGUAUGGUGAAACUUUUCAAUGCUCAGUAAUCAGAGUACUUUGAAUUUUCUUACAAACAUCAGUUCCAAUGGGUUUCUAUCUGCAGAACAAACUCUUACUGUAAAAUAGGAGUUGAAGAACAUUUAACUUCUAGCUGAAAUAAAAUGGAUGACUGAAUAUGAAUGAACUUUCUACGUGCCUACACUACUGACUAACCAUUCUCAUAUUUUCAAUUAGAUGAUAUAUUUUAAGGGGUACUUGGGAUUUAUUUUAUAACAUCCCUUUCAAAAGAGUACGGCAGCGCACAAAGAUUCACUCAUACAGCAGUUAACAUGAUCUGCAACUUAGCAUUUCACAAACACCGGUAAUUUACCAUUUGCCAACUUUAUGCAUACUGUUUUAUAUUCCACUUAUGUUUUUUAUUUUUUUCCAAGUAUUUUAAUAACCCUAGGAAAAAAAAUGAUAGUUUAUGUAUAAAAUUACAAUCUUCAGCUGAAAAAAAUUCCUGUGGCUUCACGGUUAUUUCAAUUUAGAGCAGCUCAAGAUCUGCUUCAGAAUUUAUACAGCAAACAUACCAAUCCUCAAGCACCAUUACAAAGAGGUUUGUUUUUUCUUAGGUCAGGAUAAUUGAUGUGAGAAAAAAAGAUGCUGACAGAACAUACGAUUGUGGAGAGAAAAAGAAUUCUAAACAAAAAAUUGCUUAUCACAUCAUUUCUCUAGUUUAAUUCCCCUCUUUGUUUUCCACUGGAGAGUUUGUGGGAGAACUAGUGAUGCUUCACUUCAUUAUUGUUUACAGAUAGCACCUCAAAAUAAAAAUUUCGUUUCUUUAGGACAGUAGUUCUAAGUUAAUCCAGCAGGAGGUCCACACUGAUCAACUGCACAACAGACUUCCCAGCAAGGAGAACUCUGAAGCUACAGAUGGAUAGUCCGACUGCCUGAGGCCCUCAAGACAACAUUCAGUUUAAUUUCCAUACUUUCAAUUACACAUCAGCCAAAUAUCCAGAAGAUCUGUGACCUGUUUGGGACACCCUUAUUUUAAAGUACAAGUGCACGCAACAGGAACAAUGUCUAACAUGAGCUGGAAGCAUUUAUUUCUACUGCUGCACACGAAGAACCCUGCAUGAAUCAAUACUACAGGACCCUCAAACCAUUAGUCCCUGUGACUCACUGUACAGAGAAAUAUAUGUGAAAAUACAAAAACAAUCUAGGUUCUCUGAUUCUGAGACAUCUGAUCAUAAGAUGGAAAAGCCUGAGAGUACCAGGGGACCAAAAUCUUCCUGCCAGCAUGGAUUUCCAGAGCUCUUUUGGAAAGUAUUUCUAGGGGAACACAGACACUUACCAGCAUGGAAGAGCUGCAGCACUUAGAAAAUUCAUCCUGUCUAUAAUUUCCUCGGGCAAACACUGGGCAUACUCAUUUUUGCAACCCACUGAACUCCCCAUGCAGUGGAUUGGGAUCACAAAGAGAGCUGCACUAAAUUGGUUUGGCUCUGUUGCUCAGUACGAAGGAGUGGCAUGGUAGAGAGGUUUUGCUGAGUUCCAUAAAAUUACGUCCACGGGAGAAGGGCUAAGUACAACUCUCCUAACAGCAGGAGAUAGUCAUGCCACUCCUUUCAGAAAAACUGAACAGAAAUUCUACCUGAACAGAUUCAUUACAAUUAGUAGAAGCAUUUUAAUUCCAAGUACCCCCUCCAGGAUCUUCUCCUUGCUGCUUCGAAGCAGACAUAAUUUUAUUCAUUUAUUUUAGAAAGCCCUAACUGCUGCCCUACGAAUGAGAUCUAGUGAUGCAGUUCUGCCCUGGGGAGAGCCAGGUGCUUUGUUUUGCUGCUUGUCUCACAAAAGUAGUACCCUGAAAUAGAGCACAUUUGUGUUGGAUUAAUGCAAUCAAAGGCACCCUGCUGUCUGGUCACUGACCUAUCUGUAAACAGCAGAUGACAUUAUGCCAUAAGCUUCUGUUAGAUAUAAUUACCUAUUGAGAUGUGACCACUGUAAAAGAAACAAAACCAUGUACCUCACCUGCUGCUGUUAGUUUAUUUUCCAGAACUAAACAAUGCCUAUAAGCACCUCAGAUCUGAGCACCAUUUGUGACUACUCAUCUCCCUUCACUGCUCCUCAUAUCUCUUCCAAGCAGAUUUUUGUCUUCUCCCUUACAUCUGCAACAACCCUCCCAGCUGCACUGGGAUCUAUCAUCUGGCUGCAGCCUGCUGUGUGCUACUGCGAUUGGAGGAGUGGCUGUGGAGAUGUUCCAUUCCUGGAAAACAAGUUUCCUAUGUCCUGCCAGACCUGGAUAGGAAAAAUUGUCAGUAUCAUUUUAAUUUGCUUUUCUUUACCCCUACCGUAAUUCAUAGUUAGUCCUGGAAUCAUAUAAAUAUGACAGUAGUUAUAGAGACACCAAUCUGCUGCUCAAGUAGUCCAGGAAUGAAAGCAGUAUCACUGCAGAUCAGUUUUGACAUCUGUGGUCCAGCAGAUACCACACCUUGCUUUUCUGAGACAGCGUACAGAGGUAACACAGAGGCUCCUGAAGUGUUCUACACUGUUGGGAUCUUCUGUUGUUCAACUGAAGGAAACUUAUUGUCUCCCAGAUCUGCAAGCAGGAUUCCUGUUUUAAAGACCCCCUGAACUACUGGUUAAAGAACUGACCACAUAAAAAUGUAAACCUCAGGGCUCGCUAUGAUAACAUUAUUACUGAUUACUUCACUAACAAAGCCAAAACCUUCUAUUGCAGUUGUUAAAUAUGAAAGCUAUGGCAAUUAAUCAGCAUAUUGAAGGCAACAGUAGUCAAGUUUCACAAGAUUUAAGCCAGGAAGAAAAGCAAGACAUUAAAAUUCUGGGUAUUCAAAUCUUCUGAUAGAGCAAAACAUUUAAACAAAGUAUAGACGGAAUUUCACCUAUGUCAUUGGAAUUGCAUUGGAUAGACAGCCAAAUAACUGCAUGUUUAAAGGAGUGAAAUUAAAAUCAUUCAGUAUGUUAUUAUUAUUGACUAAAAGGCUUUAGGAAAGAUCCCUUCUGUGUAUCUUCUAUUCUUUGUCACCAGUUUCCAUACACUUACACCUGUACUUUCAGUGUUACAUUUUCUUCUCUUGAUCUUCUAGACAAGAGGAAUUAGUACUGAGAGAUCCUGCAGCAAAAAGCCUUUGAAGCUCACUUCUUAGAGGUAAGACAGAUUCCUGCCUCCCCAGAUGCUGCCUUUUAUUUGCCAAAGAUUGCUCUGUUCUGCAAGGCUUCACCUCAACACCACUGUAUGCCUAAUAUAGAUCUUGAACUUGCAGAUUAUUUUGAUACAAAUUAAAAACUAAAUUAUUUUAAUUAUGAAGGGGAUCGUUUUCUUUCAGUCACAGCUUUUAUUCAGUCAUCAGUUACUGCCAGUUUCCUUGUACAGGUCAAUGAACUGAUUGUAGUUUAUUUCAUGAAAGUAUUUUCUGCCAUUUCUGAAGAAGCAGCAGUUCCAACUCGCUAAGUUUUGGUAAAAGCUGGAGGUCUCCUUACCAAGCAUGACAGCAACACGCAUUGCUUUUUUUGCUCAUUCUAGGAAUUUAUGUUUUUCUUGUAAAUAGGUCAAUAUAUAUUCUUGGUAAAUAAUAAUUACAAUGAAAAACAGUUUUAGGGUCUGAUCUUGUAAAGCAGACACACUGAUGUUUCUAUUUUCUGCAUAUAUAUUUACUAUUUUCUGCAUUUAUCCUACUGUAAAAACUAGUAAUGGAGCAUUGUAUUUAAAAAUCUGGUUUCAGUGGGCAGUUGGGAGCAAGGAAUGAAAGGGAUAAGGGACAAAAUCAGAGAAGUGUGUAGUUCAGAACGACUGGUUUUGUUUUUGAUCCUACAAAGUUUGUGUGCCUUGUUUUAGAGGAAGAUCCAUGGAAGAUCCGUGGAAAAUAUUUUAAGCAACAGGUAGAACAGACAAGCACUUCCAGUCAUCGGGAGGGGGUGGACAGUACCCUCCAAGCCCAGCAACCAAAAGUUAAUGCAAUUACUAAGUAUCAAAUGUAGAGCAGAGAGACUAAUUUGAUCAGUGAGGCUGAAGGGAUAAUUCUUGGAGACAAAGCAAUGCAAUGCGGAAAUGCAGCCUAAUCAACUGCUUCAUCAAAAGAAAGAGGAAACAAUUUCCAAGCCUUAACUAAAAUCCCCAGUUGGUUCUUCAUCUUUCCAGGGUUCUGGUUUUUGCACUGCAGUGUUUGUUCCAUCUCGCAACAUUUGUUUGUCUGCUUCUGUUCUCUGUGCAAAACUGUUCUGUUGGCUCCUGGCUCCUUUAUCAAAUGAGCCUCCUCCUCCUUUCUUGCUUUUCACCAAUGAGCCUAAUCAUGAAAGAGUGCAUAGAAAAGGAAGUAUUUAUUAUAUUCAAUGCCCAAGCCUCCUUUCCAUAAUCAUGUGGAAUAGCGGUUGAAGAAGGAUAUCUAGGUCUGCCUUGUGGCUACAGGAUUUUUUGAAGCACACGUUUGUUCCAUCUGAUGGAAAGCAUCUGCUUGCUGAUCUCUGCUAAGCCUUCCGCAUAGCCAGGAACCUUACAGGUGCUGCUGUUACAACAGAUAAGAUGAGCUGGCAGAAAGGAAAGAAGGAACUUACAGAAGAAAGCACAGGAGAUGGGAAACACAACCGAAAAAAGCGGGAGCGAAUAUUUAAGAAAAGAUUUUCUGGACUGAGCCUCUUCUCUGGGUCUCCUAGGAACAAACCCCCUCAGGGAAGGAGUCAGAGCUUUGAAGACAAGAAGAGAUGCUUACACAGGAAAGGUUCCAAAAAGCUGAAGCCAGCACGGGAGGAAAUCUGUUCUUUAAGGCAACCACAUUCCGGAAAAAUGUGUCCAAAAUGUGAAAUCCUUGUCUGCCGAAAAUGUGAGACACUGCAUUCAGAAAGCAGCUUCAUUGCUCACAGCCUGCUCGAUCACUACGACAGAGGAGGACGGGGCAGCUCUACUGCAUUGAUUACAACAAGCCAGAAAGUAUGCAGAGGUGAUUAAAGAAUUACUGCGGGUGCCUUGUUGAUACCUGACUAUGUCCAAAAUGCCAAAGCUUGGAUCCAUUUAGGCUGAACCCUCAGUCUGAACAAUCCAUAUGCAGCAUCAGCAACUGCAGCUAUACUGCUGUUCAUACUUACCAUAGGUAGCAGAUACACAUCCACUCAUUUAACCAGUAUAAAGUCUGUAAGUAGGAACCAUAAGUGUCUCAGCUAUUAAGAACAUUUCAAACAGCUUCAAAGAGUUUUAUUUUUCCCCUCAAGGAAUCAAGAUUAUCACACUGAGCUGUGAAAGAGAAAGCAAGUAUCAAAUGCAGAACCAGCGGGUACAUUACAAUUGUUUGUAAUGUGUAGGUAUGUUUCAGUGUUACUUGUGGUCUGGAAUAUUAAACUUAUUUUCAAAUUAACUGGCAUGGGUAUGUAAUUUGAUGGGGGAAAGAGAGCUUCUAAAGGCCAUCCUGGCCACAAAAAUUGCAUUCAAAUUCCCUUCAAGCAUUCAGUGCUCAACUUACGACCCAGCACCUCUCCUUAAGAGAAGGAGUAACUCACAAAUAAAGUAUUUAAGCCUGUCUAUCGCAGCACUAGCACUCAAAGUUUAAGCUUAUUAGUGGAACCCCCACCUUAAGCUGUCUACAUCCAUUCCUUCACAGUGAUGAUCAGAAAGCUGACAAGCCAAUAUACAAUUCUGGGUGGUGGGUGGCUUUAAGGUCCAGCCAUACACAGAACUGUUUGUUUCUAUAGAAUUCAGCAAUGCAUGUUAAGUGUAGAAGUAACCUCUGGAGCAGAUGACCCCUGAGCCUAGCCAUGGGCCUCUCUUCCUCCUACGCCAACUGCCCCAACUCUAUAUGCAGGAUAUGUUCUUUGCUCUUUGGUAGGGAAUGGACUAAACAAACUUUGUCUCAGCAAGACAAAACAUCAAGGGUCCUUUUAUUCAGCCAAGCAAAAAGAACAUGGGGUGGAAAGUUUGGACCUCUGUUUAAUCACUCCUCUUCCUAAAUUAACAAGUCACUAGCCCAUAGGGGAAAGGAGUCUCUCUCUUUCUGUCUUCCCCACCUUCCCUUUAAGAGUUGCUCCAUUUUUAUUUCAAUCAAUGUUACGUACAGGGACUGGAAUCCACUUUGUUUUUCUUUACCUAGGGAGCACUGUAACCGUGCUGUCAUCCAUUCUAAUAUUGUUGGCUACUCGCCCUGCUGCCCCGUGGAAAACUGCUUUACAGGAGAAAUUCAUAGCCAUGGAAACAUCUUUCCCACACUCCUGAGCAACACUGCUCAGCGCCCUUUGUGAUAUGCUAGGUGAAGAUUCAAUGUUCCUUAUGCAGAGGAGGUAGAGAAACAACUUCGGGAGUUCGAAUGAGCUGCUCUGGCUGUGUUGUACAGUGGUCAUAUCACAUCAGAACAUGCAUCCAGAGGUUGCUCACUGAGCAAAGCUUCGAAGAUAAAUAGGAGUAAACCUCAGGCAGGAUUCACAAACAAGAACAAACCACUCCAGUUCCUCACUUCUCCCUGGAUUUCAGUGGAUAGAGGCACUCCCAGAAGAAAGAGCUGUAGAAUUCCAAGGCAAAAUAUUAGAUCUUACAUACAUCUUUGCACUACAAAGAGUUGUAAUCCCUCGGAAACCAUGUUUCCAUGGUGCUCGAUUGUUGCUUUCACUCAUUUGCUUCAUAAAAGCCAGAUGCUGCCUGGCAAAUCAGAAUUAACCUCUUAUGCUUCUCUGUGAUUGCUCUCCUUUAAAUUCUUAGUGUGUUAAAUCCUUCAAGGAUUUUCCAAAAGUAAGUCAUGCAACUACUUAAGGAAUAUAAAUUAAUCCCCAUCCCACUUCAUCAAGCAAACCCAGGGAAGACUUCAACAUAAUCACCUGAGGAAAAGCAAAGUGACAGUCUGAAAGGAUGAAGGACUGACUCAUCACAACAGCAUCAUUUAAAAUCUGAUCCAAUAUAGUAAAACCUAUUAAAACAGGUAAUGUAGUUGAGCUUUUAGACACAUGUUCUGGAAAUGACACAGCAGAUAACGUUGUAUCAGCAUCCGACUGGCAAAAUCUUCCCUUGUGGUUUACCGGAGGGCAGUCGGUGGUGCAGUUCCCCACAUAGGCUAAUCUGGCUGGAAAGGCAUCCACAUAAUAGUAGCACGCAAAUUCACCUCAUUAAAGAAAGCAAGCUUUCUUGUCUUCUCACUUGAUCAGCAGUAAAUGCUAUUUUGCCACAGCAUUUGAGGAACAGCUACUGAUAUGAGCAGGGUGACUGAAUUCCCUGGGAAGCACUGGCAGAAGCACGUACUCUCUUCAUCAGUCAGGAAGUCACACUCAAAGAGAACAACUACAAGAUUUGUAUUAUGCAUUGAGGUAAGAUGAGCAGCAUGGUACUCAGAUUUUCUCAGUAUUGUUAGCUGUUAAAAUUACUGCACUCUUCCUGGGUAAGCUACCAAAAUCUGCUUCAAAUAUCUGCUUGCAAUUGCAUAUUCCCAAGACCACAUUUAUUCCUUUUGCUCACUCAGACUUCAGCUAAAAAGUCCCCAGUGUCCUCAUGGGAAUGUUAGAAAAUACAGAUCUGCUGACUCCUCAGUCCUUGCACUAACUGAAAGUUAGCUGUGCUUCCCAACAGGAGAUCCACGUGGGCUACAGGUUAUGCAUGCUGUUCCCACAGAAGCUGUUAGAGGAAGCUUACAUAUCCAUGUAAUCUAAACAGUUUUCCUAUGGAAAGGCAAAGCUAGCUCUCUGAACUGACGUGGCAAAAAUAUGGAAGAUCAGCAGUUCCUAUGUCUGUGUAAAUCCCUUGAGAUUUUAUCUGUUAUGAUCUUCCUAUGAUUGAUUUGCAAAGAUAUUCCCAGUUGCAAGAAUACUUUCACUACUACACUCACAUGCUGACCAUAUCCACCAACAGUCAGCCACAGACAAACACAUCACAAGCAAAAGUUUUGCAAUGGAAAUAGUGGAGUAGUUAGUGUGGUAUUGUGGUCGGGAAUAAAAUAAUAGACAAGCGAAAUAAAAAUACCACUACCUUGAAAUUAGUCUGAUUCCCACCUAGUGAGCCAGUCUACAAAUAAUACAAAGCCAUAUGUAAACUGUUGCACUCCAACUGCAGUGCAGCACUUCCAACUCAUACAACAGCACCUGGUAAAGUGUGGUUUCCAUCAGGACAGCUCUACUUCCUUAUCUCUCAGCACUAAUACACCAAUUGUUUUUUUUCUUCUAAAUUUUAUAUGUUUUAAAAAUCUUGCCAGAAGCAGGAAUGCAUUAUGUGAACACAUAUCAUAUCAACGCAAUGUAUUUUGAAGGAAUAGUAAUAGAAUACUGACUACAUGCUUAAAAGAUUUAGGAUUGGAGUCAUUCCUAAGAAAUAAAAUCAUGAUCUUAGCCUUGAUCUUGAUGAAAUAAAAUCAUGAUCUUAAUUACUGAGAGCCCAUACAAUUUAAUUAUCUCAUUUCAAUAGCUUUAGGAAAUUAAAGAGGAAUACUGGACUGCACUAUAUCAAAUAGACAAGUAGGCUCUGUCAAAGGCAUUCACUAGAGUGCGAACAACUGAGCUAGCAUAUCAGUGCACCACUGUCACUUAAAACAGAAACAAGCAUAAAAGAAAAAGGAAGCAGUCGGUGAGGGAAAAAUCCAUGGGAGCACUUUGCUUGGAAAGCAAAUCUAAGACAAGCAGGAAUGUAAGAGCAGCAUUUGCCACCAUUUGUCACAAAUCACAGAAUACAACGUCAAGGUAAAUCAUACAAUCAAAAUAAAAACAGAAGUAAUAUAUACAGUACACACAGAGCACACACACAGUUUCAGCCAUUUCUGAAAGCAGUGCACAGGUAUCUUUCCCCUGCCAGUAACAAUGAAGGACUUGAGAAGCAGGGCUCAUUUGGAAACAGUCAUAUUCCUGGUGGAACUGUGUGGAUCAGAUUAGAAGUAGACUUGGAGAAAAGUACAUAAUAUAACAUGCAACCAUCUGCACUGAAGGUGUUUUAUACCAGAACUCACAGCUUAUGGUUAGCUUUUCAGCAGGUAUAUACAACUACAUCCCUUCCAAAGGCCUGGCUGACUUGUUCCCAGUCUCACAAGAAGCCCGUGGAGGAACUCGGAGCUCGCCAGCAUUGCUCCUUAUGGGUGUAACCAUACAAUCAUGCUCCCUCCUGAUAUCCGCACUGCUCAGCAGCCCCAAGAAGUCAAGAUGAAUGGGCCAACUGUAUCUCAAGUUCUGGGAAAAGGUGUGUGUCCCUCAACAUGACAUACCAGAGAUGUCUGAGUACUCCAUCUCGCAGACAAAUGUAAUGUCUAGGAAUUCUUGCUUAUACAAAUGUACAUGCUGUGAAUUAGCUGAGGAUGCAAUCACUUCUUUUAGUGCUGUCAGCUGCAGAGUAGUUUCUUUCUAACACUUCAGUCUGCUUCUACAACAUAAACAAACAAAUAACGACAAUGUGUUUGUUGCUUCUACAACAUUCUAGAAGCAGAGGUCAGCCCCAGGACUUAGGGCAAGAGAAUAAAAUCAGUACCUAAAAUGCUAUCCUGGCCCAAGAUAGGUCCCUAACCUUUAGAAGGCCCACACCAAAAAAACAGAACAAUGAAACAAACAAACAAGCAAACAACAACAGCAAAACAACAACAACAAAAAAAAAAAACACCCACUCUCAACAAAGUAAAACCACCUUUAAUUAAAUUCCUACGUAAAACAUUUCUAUGUAAAACAACAAUUUAGCCAAAAAUUAAAUAUAUGUUUUAAUUCUCUUUCAAAUGUCAACAAGAAUUGAGAGCUACCAGUGUUCUUUGGAGAACAAGCAGUAGUUAAAGUCUAUCUUGCUGAUGUUCAGAAACAGUAUGUUACAUCUUUUAACCAGCAGUUCCUAUUGCACGUCACAGAUUUGCUCUCCAUUUAAGCACCUAAAGGCCUGGUACCUCACUAAAUAAAUUAAAACAAAUCCAGUUUCUUCAGCAAACAUCUUCAACACAGAUCUCUUGGUAAAGCGACAUUACUGCAAGCUUUUAAUAAAUACAGAAAAGAUUAAUGACUUCUCAUUGGUGUUCUACGGAAUGGUCUUCUCCCAUAAACUCACUUUCCAAAAAAAUUGGUUUCUUUUGGUAUUUAUGCUCUAAAAAACACUGUGUGUGAUACGUAUGAACAUUUUCCAUCCACGCUUAUAAGACAGCACAUUUGCAUGGCAGAAGUCAUCUGACAUAAGGGUUUCAAUGAAGGGCUGCAAGGAGCUUCUUGUUGAAGCAGAACUAAAGGCAUCUCCUAAGGAGUAGAAAAGCCCCAGGAGCUGAAUGGGAGACUGUUAUCAAGGGGGGGGUUCAGACAUUUUUGAAAUUAGCCUUUCCUCUUUCUGAAAGACUUCUUUGUGUGUCCUAUAUCAGAACAACAAAACCGUGCAACCAUGACUAUCCGGAUGCUGC